UACGAAGGGGGCUAGCGUUGUUCGGAUUUACUGGGCGUAAAGCGCACGUAGGCGGAUCUUUAAGUCAGAGGUGAAAUCCCAAGGCUCAACCUUGGAACUGCCUUUGAUACUGGAGAUCUUGAGUCCGGGAGAGGUGAGUGGAACUGCGAGUGUAGAGGUGAAAUUCGUAGAUAUUCGCAAGAACACCAGUGGCGAAGGCGGCUCACUGGCCCGAUACUGACGCUGAGGUGCGAAAGCGUGGGGAGCAAACAGG
rnacentral:rRNA from 1 species